UUGUAUAACAUAAAAUAAAAAUUAAAUUAGGGACUCUGGGUGUGAAGGCGCAGUAGUCACACGCCAGAGCGGAGAAACAAGCUAGCUGCCAAAUGGCUUCAGCAGACUCGCCAAUUAGCCCGU